CACAACUAGAAAACUCUGUCCCACAGCUGCAACUGAAAUCUAUUGACGGUCGGGAAUUAAACGCAGGAUUUUGGAAUCCCUCAAGCUCCAAAACUCCUUCUGAUCUAUACCUUUUUCUGUGAUCUUUAGCUCCUACCGCCUCUUUCUCUAUUUAUCUGUCUUAAUUUUCUUCUCUCUCAGUCCAGAGAGAGAAUCUGAUUGCCUUAAGGAGGUACUAAAAUAAUAUAUAUAAAUAUAUUUUGGCACGGAUGGCGGGCCAGGCAGAAGAAUCUACCCCAACUGCUCAAGUGGUGGGGAAUGCCUUUGUGGAGCAGUACUAUAAUAUACUGUCCAAGUCUCCAGAGGUUGUUCAUAAAUUUUACCAAAAUUCUAGUGUGAUUAGCCGGCCAGAUUUUGACGGACUCAUGUUGUCUGCAUCAACUUUAGAGGGCAUUGACAAGAUGAUCCUUUCCCUUGACUAUAAGAAUUGUGAGGUUGAGAUAUUGACGACUGAUGCUCAAGAGUCUUUUGGAGAUGGCGUGAUUGUUUUGGUGACUGGUUUCUUUAC
rnacentral:misc_RNA from 1 species